UGGAAGUAAAAGUCGUAACAAGGUCUCCGUUGGUGAACCAGCGGAGGGAUCAUUACCGAGUUUACAACUCCCAAACCCAAUGUGAACGUUACCAAACUGUUGCCUCGGCGGGGUCACGCCCCGGGUGCGUAAAAGCCCCGGAACCAGGCGCCCGCCGGAGGGACCAACCAAACUCUUUUCUGUAGCCUUCGGGCGUUAUUUCUUACAGCUCUGAGCAAAAAUUCAAAAUGAAUCAAAACUUUCAACAACGGAUCUCUUGGUUCUGGCAUCGAUGAAGAACGCAGCGAAAUGCGAUAAGUAAUGUGAAUUGCAGAAUUCAGUGAAUCAUCGAAUCUUUGAACGCACAUUGCGCCCGCCAGUAUUCUGGCGGGCAUGCCUGUCCGAGCGUCAUUUCAACCCUCGAACCCCCUAGGGGGUCCGGCGUUGGGGAUCGGGGACCCCUAAGACGGGAUCCCGGCCCCGAAAUACAGUGGCGGUCUCGCCGCAGCCUCUCCUGCGCAGUAGUUUGCACAACUCGCACCGGGAGCGCGGCGCGUCCACGUCCGUAAAACACCCAACUUCUGAAAUGUUGACCUCGGAUCAGGUAGGAAUACCCGCUGAACUUAAGCAUAUCAAUAAGCGGAGGA
rnacentral:rRNA from 1 species